UACGGAGGAGGCAAGCGUUAUCCGGAAUUAUUGGGCGUAAAGCGUCCGUAGGUGGCUAGUCAAGUCUGCGGUCAAAGACUGGGGCUUAACCCUGGAAAGGCCGUGGAAACUGACGAGCUAGAGUGCAGUAGGGGUAGAGGGAAUUCCCGGUGUAGCGGUGAAAUGCGUAGAGCUCGGGAAGAACAUCGGUGGCGAAAGCGCUCUACUGGACUGCAACUGACACUCAGGGACGAAAGCUAGGGGGGCGAACAGG
rnacentral:rRNA from 1 species